GAUAAACGCUGGCGGCGUGCAUAACACAUGCAAGUCGAACGAAGUGGCGAACGGGUGAGUAACACGUGAGUAACCUGCCUUACACAAGGGGAUAGCCUUUGGAAACGAAGAAUAAUACCCUAUAGUGUAAGAUGGACUUGCGUCUGAUUAGCUAGUUGGUGAGAUAAAGGCCCACCAAGGCAACGAUCAGUAGCCGGCUUGAGAGAGUGUACGGCCACAGUGGGAUUAGGACACCGGCCAAACGCUACGGGAGGCAGCGGUGGGGGAUUUUGCGCAAUGGGGGAAGUGCUGAUGCAGCAACGCCGCGUGGGGGAGUCGGCCUUCGGGUUGUAAAGCGCUUUCAGCCAUGACGCGGUAGUGGCAGAAGAAGCACCGGCUAACUACGUGCCAGCCGCCGCGGUAAUAC
rnacentral:rRNA from 1 species